ACACCGGCGGUGCUCAUAACGCAGUUAACGUGAAGACUUCGGGUCAGUAAGUGGCGCACGGGUGAGUAACGCGUAAUAUCUGCCCCGCUGUCUGGGAUACCUUCGAAAGGGAGGCUAAUACCGGAUAACACGAUUUCUUUUAAGGGGAGUCGUUGAAAGUUGCGGCGCAACGGGAUGAGUCUGCGUCCCAUUAGCUAGUUGGUGGGGUAAAGGCCUACCAAGGCGACGAUGGGUAGCGGGUUUGAGAGGACGAUCCGCCACACUGGAACUGAGACACGGUCCAGACUCCUACGGGAGGCAGCAGUAGGGAAUUUUGCGCAAUGGGCGAAAGCCUGACGCAGCAAUGCCGCGUGAGUGAAGAAGGCCCUCGGGUCGUAAAGCUCUUUAUCUUCGGGAAGAUGAUGACGGUACCGGAGGAAGAA
rnacentral:rRNA from 1 species